UUUGGUAAUCACUCCUGUGGCCUAGUGGUUAGAGCAUCUGCCUAUGAUGCAGGAGGAUGUGGGUUCAAUCCCCAGUUGAGUCAUACCAAAA